AACGAACGCUGGCGGCAUGCCUAACACAUGCAAGUCGAACGAGACCUUCGGGUCUAGUGGCGCACGGGUGCGUAACGCGUGGGAACCUGCCCUUAGGUUCGGAAUAACUCCCCGAAAGGGGUGCUAAUACCGGAGAAUGUCUUCGGACCAAAGAUUUAUCGCCUUUGGAUGGGCCCGCGUUGGAUUAGGUAGUUGGUAGGGUAAAAGCCUACCAAGGCGACGAUCCAUAGCUGGUCUGAGAGGAUGAUCAGCCACACUGGGACUGAGACACGGCCCAGACUCCUACGGGAGGCAGCAGUGGGGAAUAUUGGACAAUGGGCGAAAGCCUGAUCCAGCAAUGCCGCGUGAGUGAUGAAGGCCUUAGGGUUGUAAAGCUCUUUUACCCGGGAUGAUAAUGACAGUACCGGGAGAAUAAGCUCCGGCUAACUCCGUG
rnacentral:rRNA from 1 species